UCCUACGGGGGGCUGCAGUGGGGAAUAUUGGACAAUGGGCGAAAGCCUGAUCCAGCCAUGCCGCGUGUGUGAAGAAGGCCUUUUGGUUGUAAAGCACUUUAAGCGAGGAGGAGGCUACUUGGAUUAAUACUCUAGGAUAGUGGACGUUACUCGCAGAAUAAGCACCGGCUAACUCUGUGCCAGCAGCCGCGGUAAUACAGAGGGUGCGAGCGUUAAUCGGAUUUACUGGGCGUAAAGCGUGCGUAGGCGGCUUCUUAAGUCGGAUGUGAAAUCCCUGAGCUUAACUUAGGAAUUGCAUUCGAUACUGGGAAGCUAGAGUAUGGGAGAGGAUGGUAGAAUUCCAGGUGUAGCGGUGAAAUGCGUAGAGAUCUGGAGGAAUACCGAUGGCGAAGGCAGCCAUCUGGCCUAAUACUGACGCUGAGGUACGAAAGCAUGGGGAGCAAACAGGAUUAGAUACCCGGGUAGUCGA
rnacentral:rRNA from 1 species